rnacentral:rRNA from 1 species
AGCAUGUAAUAAAAUAAAAAUAACAUUUUAUAGAGUUUAAGUAAUUAAAGAAUAAAUUUAGUAUAAGAAACUGUGAAGGAAUUAUUAGAUUAAGGAAUUAGUACCUUUUGUAUAAGGGUUAAAUUAAUAUUAAUAAAAUAUAAAAAUCCCGAACUUAAGAAAUUUAAAUUAAUUAAAUGUAUAUGUAGAAAUAUAUAAAGAAAAUAUAAUUUGGAAAUGAAAUAUUUACGGUCUUGAAGAUAUCUGGUUUAGGUAUUUAAAUAAUUAAUUUAUUAAGUUGAAAUUUUGUAAUUAAAAAUAAAUGUUUAAGUUAAUAAUAAAAUUUAUAGGGUAAUCUUAUAAAUUAAAUAAAAAGAAAACUGAUAAAAUAAAUAAAAAUAUAAAGGCUUGAAAGAAGCUAGAAAAAGGUUAUACUUUCUUUAUGCAAUUUAAAAAUUUAGUUUAAAGUUUAUUAUAGAAAUACAUAAAGUAACAAAAAAAUAAAAUAUUAAACAUUACACUGUUUAAAUUAGUACAUAAAUUUAUAAUUGGUAAAUGUAAAAUAAUUGGUAAUUUUUAUGAAUUCGACAAAUAUACUUUAGAAUGUUUAACAAAAACAUUUCUUUUAGGAUUAAAUUAAAAGUAAAAUCUGCCCACUGUAUAUAUAAAGGGCUGCGGUAUUCUGACCGUGCUAAGGUAGCAUAAUCAUUAGUUUCUUAAUUAGGAAAUGGUAUGAAUGAUUUAACUGAGGUGUAUUUUAUUAAUAUUAAAAAUUGAAGUUAGAAUUUAAGUGAAAAUACUUAAAUAUUCUUAAUAGACGAUAAGACCCUAUAGAUCUUUAUUUUUUGCAUGUUUAUAUUUAAAAUAGAUGAAUAAAUAUAAAUUUGAGAAAUUUUUGUUGGGGUAACAUAAGAGUAAUAAAAAUCUCUCAAAAUAGAAAAAAGAAAAAUUUUAUUUAAUCUUAAAUUUUAAAAAGAAAAAGUUACCUUAGGGAUAACAGCAUAAUUAAUUUGGAGAGUUCUAAUCGAUAAAUUAGCUUAUGACCUCGAUGUUGAAUUAAAAAUCCUAAUAGGGGCAGUACUUUAUUAAGGUGGUUUGUUCAACCAUUAAAUUUUUACAUGAUUUGAGUUCAAACCGGCGUGAGCCAGGUUGGUUUCUAUCUUUAAGUUAUAAGAAAGUUACUUAGUACGAAAGGAUUAGUGAACUUAAAUGUUAUUUAUAGCCACAA